GUGGGGAAUCUUGCGCAAUGGGCGAAAGCCUGACGCAGCCAUGCCGCGUGAAUGAUGAAGGUCUUAGGAUUGUAAAAUUCUUUCACCGGGGACGAUAAUGACGGUACCCGUAGAAGAAGCUCCGGCUAACUUCGUGCCAGCAGCCGCGGUAAUACGAAGGGGGCUAGCGUUGUUCGGAAUUACUGGGCGUAAAGCGCGCGCAGGCGGUCUUCCAAGUCAGUGGUGAAAGCCUGGAGCUCAACUCCAGAACUGCCAUUGAAACUGUUAGACUUGAGUACGAGAGAGGUGAGGUGAAUUCCCAGUGUAGAGGUGAAAGUCGUAGAUAUUGGGAAGAACACCAGUGGCGAAGGCGGCUCACUGGCUCGUAACUGACGCUCAGGCGCGAUAGCGUGGGGAUCAAACAGGAUUAGAUACCCGUGUAGUCC
rnacentral:rRNA from 1 species